UGGGGAAUAUUGGACAAUGGGCGAAAGCCUGAUCCAGCGACGCCGCGUGUGUGAAGAAGGCCUGCGGGUUGUAAAGCACUUUCGAUGGGAACGAAAUGUGUCGGGCUAAUACCCCGGCAAGCUGACGUUACUCAAUGAAGAAGCACCGGCUAACUCUGUGCCAGCAGCCGCGGUAAUACAGAGGGUGCGAGCGUUAAUCGGAAUUACUGGGCGUAAAGCGCACGUAGGUGGCGACGUAAGUCGGGUGUGAAAGCCCCGGGCUCAACCUGGGAAUUGCAUUCGAGACUGCAUCGCUGGAGUACGGAAGAGGAGGGCGGAAUUCCCGGUGUAGCGGUGAGAUGCGUAGAUAUCGGGAGGAACAUCAGUGGCGAAGGCGGCCCUCUGGUCCAGUACUGACGCUGAGGCGCGAAAGCGUGGGGAGCAAA
rnacentral:rRNA from 1 species